rnacentral:rRNA from 1 species
AUUGAACGCUGGCGGCAUGCUUUACACAUGCAAGUCGAACGGCAGCGCGGGCUUCGGCCUGGCGGCGAGUGGCGAACGGGUGAGUAAUGCAUCGGAACGUGCCCAGUAGUGGGGGAUAGCCCGGCGAAAGCCGGAUUAAUACCGCAUACGACCUGAGGGUGAAAGCGGGGGACCGAAAGGCCUCGCGCUAUUGGAGCGGCCGAUGUCGGAUUAGCUAGUUGGUGGGGUAAAGGUUUACCAAGGCGACGAUCCGUAGCUGGUCUGAGAGGACGACCAGCCACACUGGGACUGAGACACGGCCCAGACUCCUACGGGAGGCAGCAGUGGGGAAUUUUGGACAAUGGGGGCAACCCUGAUCCAGCCAUGCCGCGUGCGGGAAGAAGGCCUUCGGGUUGUAAACCGCUUUUGUUCGGGAAGAAAUCCUCUGGGCUAAUACCCCGGGGGGAUGACGGUACCGGAAGAAUAAGCACCGGCUAACUACGUG